UACGUAGGGGGCUAGCGUUGUCCGGAUUUAUUGGGCGUAAAGAGCUCGUAGGUGGUUCGGUAAGUCGGAUGUGAAAUCUCCAGGCUCAACCUGGAGGGGUCAUUCGAUACUGCCGUGACUAGAGUUCGGUAGAGGAGUGUGGAAUUCCUGGUGGAGCGGUGAAAUGCGCAGAGAUCAGGAGGAACACCCGUAGCGAAGGCGCUCUACUGGGCCGUAACUGACACUGAGGGACGAAAGCUAGGGGAGCGAAAGGG
rnacentral:rRNA from 1 species